AAAUCAUCUGAUGAGAAAAAUAACUACAACAAUAUGAUCAGAAUAUUCCAUGAUUCUAGUAUUUUAAGUCUCUGAUGAUU